CUACUUGAAUGCUUGAUUCCGUAUUAGUAACUAUGUUUUACAAUCGUUGUAAAAGUGUGACUAAUAAGAAGUAUAAGAUAUAUGAGAGAAGAAAAGGUGCUUCACAUUCGGAACGUGAAUAAAAUAUAAAUCUCUGCGAAAGCAGAUAGUACUUACUUCCUCAUAUGAACUACCAAAGAUUGUCUUUACAUUCCAAUUUUAAGGAACUUAAUUCCGUCACUAUAGUAGAGAUGGAUGAAUGUUUUGUUUGACAAAACAUUGUUCUUUAUUAAUCAAUGAUUGGAUUAUAGUAAUCUAAUUGAUUGUCUCUAUAGCAGAGAUGAUAUGGUAUUGUUAACUAUUUAGAAUAUAAUGAUGCUUAAAACCCAAAAGGUUGCAAGGUAGUGACUAAUCCCAACUGAGUUGUGAUACCUCUAAAAACAUAGGUUACGAGUUGGUGAAAGAUGGAUGCUUUGGAUCGUUAGAUCCGGAUCCAAUACCUUCUUGUUAAAAUUGUAUAGAGGUGAAAUGUUCGAAUCUUUAUUCUUUUUGAAAGAAGAAAGAAUCACAAAGUUGUUGAGGUUAAUUCACUUAGAUGUUAGUGGCACUUGUCCACAACAUAAUACUACUCAUGUUAUAUGACAUUCACCGAAGAUCACUCUCGGUUCGACUAUAGUUUAUUUUGAAUAAACACAAGUCCGAAUACUUUGCAAAUUGUUUCAAAGAAUUCAAGUAAUGUAAGUUGAUGAGUAAGACGUCUAAAGUAUUUACCUCCUUAGAUUUGAUCCAAGAUAAGGUAACACUUUAGAACAGUUUCCUUGAAAGAUAUCAAGGAAAUAAGCAUCAUAAGAUAAUAGAUUUCUCGAUAAGGAGAAGAACGAACUUAAAUAAGAUUUAGUUCAUUGGAUAUUAUCUAUUACCCAUAUAUAGGAUAUAUACUUCUAAAAACAAUAUGAUUGUCAAUUAGAAGAUCUUCCAAAUUUUUCAUGACUCCAUAAGAUGUAGUUGGAAAGAAAGACAAAUCUUAAGCACGUUAAGAUUUGGGGUUGUGUGCUAAUAAGCAAUAUUUGUUUGAUAACAAUCUUGUGGGAUAUCCUUAAAUUAACUUUUGGAUAUCGCUUCUAUAAACCAAUUAACAAAUGUUGUUUUGUUGGGUAGUUCAUUGUAAUCCUACAAUGUGAUUUGCCUAAAAGCAAAUGAACAAAAGAUAGAACUCAAAGAAUGGGUUCUUUGAGAGACAAGAAAGUAAUCAACAAAUAUAAACAACCUAGUUCCUAUACCAAAAGCUCCAAGGUAGUCAAGAAGGAUUUAUAAACCGUCUCAGUAGAAUGGUUUGAACUUUAUGACUAUGUCAUAGAGUUGCACCUCUUAAUUCGAAAGAAAUAAGAAUGAAAAUC
rnacentral:lncRNA from 1 species